CCUACGGGGGGCUGCAGUGGGGAAUAUUGGACAAUGGGCGAAAGCCUGAUCCAGCAAUGCCGCGUGAGUGAUGAAGGCCUUAGGGUUGUAAAGCUCUUUUACCCGGGAUGAUAAUGACAGUACCGGGAGAAUAAGCUCCGGCUAACUCCGUGCCAGCAGCCGCGGUAAUACGGAGGGAGCUAGCGUUGUUCGGAAUUACUGGGCGUAAAGCGCGCGUAGGCGGUUUUUUAAGUCAGAGGUGAAAGCCCAGUGCUCAACACUGGAACUGCCUUUGAAACUGGAAAACUUGAAUCUUGGAGAGGUCAGUGGAAUUCCGAGUGUAGAGGUGAAAUUCGUAGAUAUUCGGAAGAACACCAGUGGCGAAGGCGACUGACUGGACAAGUAUUGACGCUGAGGUGCGAAAGCGUGGGGAGCAAACAGGAUUAGAUACCCGAGUAGUC
rnacentral:rRNA from 1 species